UAUAGCUCAGCGGUAGAGCGGGCGGCUGUUAACCGCUAGGUCGUAGGUUCGAAUUCAACUCGGGGAGCCA
rnacentral:tRNA from 1 species